AAAUCUCAACCUUCUCGGUUUCUUCUGGACACCGAAGGAGGCUUGGACUUUGGAGGCUUUUGCUGGCGUAUCUCCCAGCUCCUCUCAAAUGAAUUAGCGGGGUCCUCUUUGCCGAUCCUCGACAUGUGAUAAGAUGUUUCCAUGUCUUGGUUUAUGGCUCUGUUGCCUUUGGGACCCGCUUCUAGCCGUCUCACCGAGACAAUGUCCGAGCGUGUCUCCCUUCUCGGGAAACCCUCUCAGACCCACGAAC
rnacentral:misc_RNA from 1 species